rnacentral:rRNA from 1 species
UACGGGGGGAGCAAGCGUUGUUCGGAUUUACUGGGCGUAAAGGGCGCGUAGGCGGCUUAUCAAGUCAGGCGUGAAAUUCCCGGGCUCAACCUGGGGGCUGCGCUUGAUACUGAUGAGCUUGAAUGCGGGAGAGGAUAGUGGAAUUCCCAGUGUAGAGUUGAAAUUCGUAGAUAUUGGGAAGAACACCGGUGGCGAAGGCGGCUAUCUGGCCCGUAAUUGACGCUGAGGCGCGAAAGCGUGGGGAGCAAACAGG